AGUAAUACGUGAGUGACCUGCCUUUUAGACUGGAACAACUUACCGAAAGGUGAGCUAAUGCCGGAUGAGUUAUAUAAGUGCAUGUUUAUAUAGGAAAAGUUGGGGAGACCUGACGCUGAAAGAUGGACUCGCGUCCCAUUAGCUAGUUGGUAGGGUAAUGGCCUACCAAGGCGACGAUGGGUAGCCGGCCUGAGAGGGUGGCCGGCCACACUGGGACUGAGACACGGCCCAGACUCCUACGGGAGGCAGCAG
rnacentral:rRNA from 1 species